UACAGAGGUCUCAAGCGUUGUUCGGAUUCAUUGGGCGUAGAGGGUGCGUAGGCGGCGCGGUAAGUCGGGUGUGAAAUCUCGGAGCUUAACUCCGAAACUGCAUUCGAUACUGCCGUGCUUGAGGACUGGAGAGGAGACUGGAAUUUACGGUGUAGCGGUGAAAUGCGUAGAUAUCGGGAGGAACACCAGUGGCGAAGGCGAGUCUCUGGGAUGAUACUGACGCUGAUGCUCGAAAGCUAGGGGAGCAAACGGG
rnacentral:rRNA from 1 species